rnacentral:lncRNA from 1 species
GCCAGGAGGUACGCAGACACAGAUGAUGGAGAGGACAGUUGUAUGUGUCUCUGCUCCCAAGUCACACAGAGCCCAAGUGAGAGUCUUCCGUUUGCUGAGAUGUAUAUACUCCCCUCACUCCCUCAACCCUGAGUUGGGGCAGGAAUGGGAAGAUAUGCUGUUCUCUUCAUGUUUUCAUUGCAGAGCUCUUGAGCGUUGCACAAAGAACAUGAAGGUUAGAGUGGGGAUAUCUGAUAAUGUGAACUCAGGGGAAAGUUUCAAGGGUUAUGGCAGAUUGUAUUUUCCUUUUUUUUUUCUUUUUAAGAUUUUGUUUUUAAGGAAUCUCUACACCCAAUGUGGGGCUGGAACUUACAACCCUGAGAUCAAGAAUUGCAUGCUCUACAGACUGAGCCAGCCAGGCACCAUCAGAUGCCCAGAUGAUAUUUUCCAAAGGGUGUGUGCGUGUGUGUGUGUGUGUGUGUGUGUGUGUGUGAGACCGCACAUGAUCUUCUUGCAAUGUGAUGUUGACAUUUCUCCAUUGAGAAGUUAUGUUCUGUGCCUUUGCACUUGGGAACAUCUCUGUAACUGCUUUGACAAGUGGAAUGUAGUGGAAGUGACAUGGUUUGGCCUCCGAGACUGGGUCACAAAAGGCAAUAUGGCUUCUGUCUGGCUUCCCCUCUCUGUCUCUGGAUGCUCCCCUUUGGAACCAGCCGCCAUGCUCCGAGGAAACCCCGGCCACUUGGAGAAGCCACUGCAGGUGUUUGCAUCCACAGCCUUAGCGAAGAGGUCGUCGUGUGUUUGGAGAGGCUAGAAAAGAGAGGGGAGAAUAGAAAAGGAGAGGAGGUGACUAUGCCCUUCAGUAACUGACUCUAUGAAUACUAUUGCAUUUCCUUCUGUACUGGGCGCUGUUCUAGAAGCUGGCAUACAGCUAUGAACAAAAUAGACCAAAAUAGCCCCCUUCUUAGCUCCUUAUGCAGAUUCUGUAAAUUUAACUUACUGAGUCUUGUACAACUGGGAGAACCAAGCUCAGAU